AUUGAACGCUGGCGGCAGGCCUAACACAUGCAUGUCGAACGGCAGCACAGAAGAGCUUGCUCUUUGGGUGGCGAGUGGCGGACGGGUGAGUAAUGUCUGGGAAACUGCCCGAUGGAGGGGGAUAACUACUGGAAACGGUAGCUAAUACCGCAUAACGUCGCGAGACCAAAGUGGGGGACCGUCGGGCAUCACACCAUCGGAUGUGCCCAGAUGGGAUUAGCUAGUAGGUGGGGUAAUGGCUCACCUAGGCGACGAUCCCUAGCUGGUCUGAGAGGAUGACCAGCCACACUGGAACUGAGACACGGUCCAGACUCCUACGGGAGGCAGCAGUGGGGAAUAUUGCACAAUGGGCGCAAGCCUGAUGCAGCCAUGCCGCGUGUAUGAAGAAGGCCUUCGGGUUGUAAAGUACUUUCAGCGGGGAGGAAGGCGGUGAGGUUAAUAACCUCGCCGAUUGAUGUUACCCGCAGAAGAAGCACCGGCUAACUCCGUGCCAGCAGCCGCGGUAA
rnacentral:rRNA from 1 species